GAAAAAGACAAAAUUCAGAAUUCACUCUCAGCAUAUCACGCUCAUACCUCACCAUCCACUCCGAAAAUCUCUCAAAAAAAAUCUCUCAUGGAUCUUCCACCUUUUCUCUCACCACGCGUCCUUCAUUGCUCAUUGGCAAAAAGACAAAAAAAGUGGUUCUAUGACAGAUUCAGUAUCGCACAAGGUUUCGGAAAGCGACGAAACCAUGCUCGUCUUCAAUCUAGCGCGUGAGGUUAUAGUGUUGCGGAUGUGUUGAAGUGAUUAAAGCAAUACCUGUGAUUUAAUUCAGCAUUGCGGUAACGACAUAAUUUGAUUUCCUGCUGAGUUCUGUGUAUUAAUGUUGUUGUGUUACGUUUCAUUAUGCGGAUUUUUUUUCUCUCCGCCUUCAAUUCGGUGUUUAAUGUGUACCUGUGUAUAAAGUUAAGUAUAGCCAUUACACUUUGAAAUGUUGUGAAUGAUUUAUGUGCUGUUGUGUUUUACAUUUCCACGUCGAAAUCAAAUUUAUGAUGAUGGAUAGUCGAUGCUAGUAGCGAUGUCGCAGGUGUAAGGUUUAUGAGUUUUCAUGUCAAUUUUAGCAUCACUGUAAUUAAUUUUUUGGGGCUGUUAGUUCUGUUUCAUGUUUCCUUUUGAUUAGAGUUGAUGCAUGAUAUGAAUAAAUAUGAAUGUGGUUGUAAGACUCUUUAGUUUUUGAUAAUAAUUCUAUAGAGUACAAAUGUUGUGAGCUUUAAAUUUUAAUGGAAUUCUUGACUAUCAUUUAUGGACCA